AUACGUAGGGUGCAAGCGUUAAUCGGAAUUACUGGGCGUAAAGCGUGCGCAGGCGGUUAUGUAAGACAGGCGUGAAAUCCCCGAGCUCAACUUGGGAAUUGCGUUUGUGACUGCAUAGCUAGAGUGCGGCAGAGGGGGAUGGAAUUCCGCGUGUAGCAGUGAAAUGCGUAGAUAUGCGGAGGAACACCGAUGGCGAAGGCAAUCCCCUGGGCCUGCACUGACGCUCAUGCACGAAAGCGUGGGGAGCAAACAGGAUUAGAUACCCUGGUAGUCCACGCCCUAAACGAUGUCAACUGGUUGUUGGGAAUUAACUUUCUCAGUAACGAAGCUAACGCGUGAAGUUGACCGCCUGGGGAGUACGGCCGCAAGGUUGAA
rnacentral:rRNA from 1 species